rnacentral:lncRNA from 10 species
GCUUACAGGCACUUUCAAAGUUGAGCAAGGGAUAGUGGCAUCUAUUAACAUAAUUUUAAGAAAUCAGAGAGUCAUGUCUAAGAAUAAUUUACAGAGAAGUUAAGUGAAACGAGUUGUGCCAGAUGACAGAAUACUCUGGGUCUCAGCGUCCCCCCACCAUCAGCUGAACGGGGUCUCAGUGAAAGGCAAAUCAGAGAUUCAGUUGGUCCCAUGCGUGCCACCAGAAUGACAGCACUGAGAUUGGUAGGAAUUGGCAUUUUAGUUCUGGAUGUUGAAAGAAGCACCAACACUCACGGGGGGGAAAUCAAAGCAACCCAGUCACUGCCCUUCUUUGGUUCCACUGCAGGGCACAUAGAUGUCCAACCAUCUUGUAGUUUGCCAACACCAGUGGUUCUCAAAGUGUGGCCCCUCAAGCAGCGUGUAUCAGCAUCACCUGAAAACUUGUUAGAAAUGCUAAUUCUUAGGCCUCACCCAGAUUCAGAAUCAGAAACUCUGUUGCUAAGGCCCAGCAAUCUGUGUUUUGACAAGCCCUGAAGGAACUCUGAUGAACACCAAGAUUUGAGCCCCUCUGGCCUACACCAUGAAACAGGGGCAAGUUACCUGCCAAGAACUUCAAGAAACGCUUUGAUUUUAAAGGGAAAGCUGUAAAGGAAAUGCAUAGUAUGCAAUUUUAUUUUCAAAUUAAUGAUUCUCAUUCCUAAUGAGCAAAUAAUUUUCAUUCUCCAUGUGAACCACGUGUAUUUAAUUGCCUACAGCCAUACCAGGCCAAAUGUAGCUAAUCUGGCUUGAUCUCUAAAAGUAAGUGAAAUUGGGCCUGUUUAUAAUCUGAAAGAAAGACAGAAACGUCAUCAGAAUGAAGUUGACUGCAGACAUCUUCUUAUACACUCUGGAUGUUAAAUGAGGGGCUUAGAGCCAUGGGUUCGGAUCUCAGCUCCGUCACUUCCUAGCUACGUGAAUUCAAAAUCUUCUACUGUGAGUUUUGUCACCUCAAACAGAGGUGAAAAUAUGUCCCUCUAAGUUUUUUGUGCAGACUAUACAAUAACAUAUGUAAAUUCUUACCACAGAUGUAAGUAAAUAUGGUGAUUAUUAAUUAGUCAAUUAUUUGGAUUUUUUAAAUGUUGAAGAAUUCUUUAAUUUUAGUAGUUCUCAAUCUUGAUACUUUCAUUUUGGAGUUACACUUUAAAAUUUUUAGUUUAACUCGCUUUUAUAUUCUCUUAAAUUUUUUUUUUCGUUAAGUAACUUCUCUAAAAUGGCUGUUUGUUUGACACAGCGAGUUUUUCCUCUAUUUCACUGUGAAUUUGGGGCAAUACUUUUCUUCUGUAAUGAUUUGACAUGUUUUAUGUUUGUCCAAAUAUUCUAGAUUAAAAACACAUUGCAGUUUGCUAAUAGGUAUUGGGAUACUUAAAUUGAACAGACGAAGUGCCUUCUCAAAUGAGCGUCUAGGAUGCUUAUGAGAGUAAAGAUGAUUAAAUUCUAGGAAAGAUUUGAUCGUUGCCAAAUCUAGCAUAGAGAAUAACAAUCAUAUAGGAAAUUGUCUUUCCUGUUUAGGAUCAGAUUUGGUUUGAAAAAUUACUACCAACUUUGUAAACAUUAAAAUAGAAGCAAUAAAGAUGUGAAAUUUCACACAGGGGAUCUACAAUGUUUGGAUAAUUAUAAGCAUAUGGCUACUUUACAUGAGAUCUCUAUUAAAAGUGUAUUUACUAGGGCUCUGGGAAAACAGGGUUCUCAAAUUCAGGGUUUAUUUACAUACACUGAGAAUGUCACAUUUACUAUCAAUUUAUCAUAAUCUAUUUUUACUUCAGAGCUCUAAAUAGUAUUAACAAAAUGAUAACAGUAUCUGUUGUUUAUUGCUGUCUUGUCUAUUAGUUAAUUUACCAGGUUUUACUCAUGAGAGAAAAGGAAAAGAGCAAUUAACUUUCAAUCAAAUGUGUCAAAUCCUUUCUCGAUAAUUUUAAAAUUUCCUAUAUUUUAUGUUAAUAUUUAGGGCAUAUGCCUGUGUGGAGUAGUUUCAAUAUGUUCUACUCAAAUAAAAAUGAUUGAUGUAACAAUUGUAUGUGCUUUUUUAAAAUAGUACUUCGAUGUGUCUGUUUCUAGGAAUUAAAAAAAACCCACACAUUUGUUGCCUAUUUAUUUAGAAUUAAUUAAAUAAAUACUUUAAGUCUUAGAAAUGGUUGAAACUUUAUUUUGAAACGAGUAACUAUGGGAUUUAAGAGUUUGAAAAGUCAGGAUAAACCCUACCUUUCUCAAAAAACCUUUCCAUGACUUUUCUUCUCAAGUGCUAAGAUUAUGAAAUAUCAACAGCUGCAAGUUAUAAUAAGUUGAUCUUAAAUACAAAGUACAGAGAUGGAAAGUAGGAUAGUGGUUGCCAGGGGCUGCAGGAGGAGGAAAUGGGGAAUUCGUAUUUAAUGAGUACAAAGUUUCAAUUUGGGAAGAUGAAAAAGUUCUGAAG